rnacentral:rRNA from 1 species
CCCUUAGAUGUUCUGGGCCGCACGCGCGCUACACUGAUGCAUUCAACGAGUCUAAAACCUGGUCUGAUAGGGCUGGGUAAUCUUUUGAAAGUGCAUCGUGAUUGGGAUAGAUGAUUGCAAUUCUUCAUCUUCAACGAGGAAUGCCUAGUAAACGCAAGUCAUCAGCUUGCAUUGAUUACGUCCCUGCCCUUUGUACACACCGCCCGUCGCUCCUACCGAUUGAAUGAUCCGGUGAGCUAUUCGGACUUUCGCAUUGUCGAUUUUCGGCUUUACGAGGGAAAGUCUCGCGAACCUUAUCAUCUAGAGGAAGGAGAAGUCGUAACA